GGCUGCGUGGCUCAGUGGUUAAGGCAUCUGCUUUACAUGAAAAUGUUCGCAGAGGAUCGCAGGUUCGAGCCCUGCCGCGGUCA